GAAAUGCUUCCUCUAGACUCAGGAAGUGUUUGCUGUUUGGAAGGAGAGGAGAAAGAUGUUGCACUUGGCUGCCCUUUUGGACCUUCUUCCACUCUUCCCUGUGUGCCACCGCUGCUGGGAUAUAAGCACUCAUUACCCUGGGGUCUUCAGCUUGCUUCGAUACUGCAGGUUUUCCGAAGAGGACGUACCAACUUUCAUCUGACAACAAGGAUUAAAAUGGAUUCUCAACUCUGCAGAGGGAUUCCGUUAGCCUGUCUGCAGGGGGGCAGCACAAGCCUCCAGGAGUCUAUGGAGCCCCUGGGGCAGGAAAGCCAGCCGGGAAGGCAGAGGGAACCUAGCAAGGCUGAGCUGACAAAUGCCCUUUCUGCAGGAAGUUUCCCGGUGAUUGGUUCCUUCCUGUCCCACACUGAGCCCGAAAUCUGGAAAAUA